AGGGCCCAACCUGCGUCGAGCGGUAAGGCCAUUCGGGGUACACGAGCGGCGAACGGGUGAGUAACACGUGGGUGAUCUGCCUUGCACUUCGGGAUAAGCCUGGGAAACUGGGUCUAAUACCGGAUAUGACCUUCCAGUGCAUGCUGGUUGGUGGAAAGAUUUAUCGGUGCGAGAUGGGCCCGCGGCCUAUCAGCUUGUUGGUGAGGUAACGGCUCACCAAGGCGACGACGGGUAGCCGACCUGAGAGGGUGACCGGCCACACUGGGACUGAGACACGGCCCAGACUCCUACGGGAGGCAGCAGUGGGGAAUAUUGCACAAUGGGCGAAAGCCUGAUGCAGCGACGCCGCGUGCGGGAUGACGGCCUUCGGGUUGUAAACCGCUUUUGACAGGGACGAAGCGCGAGUGACUGUACCUGUAGAAUAAGGACCGGCCAACUACGUGCCAGCAGCCGCGGUAAUACGUAGGGUCCGAGCGUUGUCCGGAAUUACUGGGCGUAAAGAGCUUGUAGGCGGUUCGUCGCGUCGUUUGUGAAAACUUGGGGCUCAACCUUAAGCUUGCAGGCGAUACGGGCGGACUAGAGUACUUCAGGGGAGACUGGAAUUCCUGGUGUAGCGGUGAAAUGCGCAGAUAUCAGGAGGAACACCGGUGGCGAAGGCGGGUCUCUGGGAAGUAACUGACGCUGAGAAGCGAAAGCAUGGGUAGCAAACAGGAUUAGAUACCCUGGUAGUCCAUGCCGUAAACGGUGGGUACUAGGUGUGGGGCUCCUUCCACGGACUCCGUGCCGUAGCUAACGCAUUAAGUACCCCGCCUGGGGAGUACGGCCGCAAGGCUAAAACUCAAAGAAAUUGACGGGGGCCCGCACAAGCGGCGGAGCAUGUGGAUUAAUUCGAUGCAACGCGAAGAACCUUACCUGGGUUUGACAUACACCAGAAAGCGGCAGAGAUGUCGCCUCUCCUUGUGGUUGGUGUACAGGUGGUGCAUGGCUGUCGUCAGCUCGUGUCGUGAGAUGUUGGGUUUAAGUCCCGCACGAGCGCAACCCUUAUCUUAUGUUGCAGCGCGUAUGGGCUCGUGAGAGACUGACUCGGAGUGGGGGACGACGUCAGUCAUCAUGCCCUUAUGUCAGGCUCCAUGCCUACAUGACGAGUGGUGAAAUAGGCUCCAUUCGGAUU
rnacentral:rRNA from 1 species